GAUGAAGAACGUAGCGAAAUGCGAUAAGUAAUGUGAAUUGCAGAAUUCAGUGAAUCAUCGAAUCUUUGAACGCACAUUGCGCCCCUUGGUAUUCCGAGGGGCAUGCCUGUUCGAGCGUCAUAUUAACCACUCCCGCUUGCGGGGUCUUGGGCUUCGCCUCCGGGCGGGCCUUAAAAUCAGUGGCGGUGCCGUCGGGCUCUACGCGUAGUAAAUUUUCUCGCGAUAGGGUCCCGGUGGAUGCUUGCCAACAACCCCCAACUUCUUAAGGUUGACCUCGGAUCAGGUAGGGAUACCCGCUGAACUUAAGCAUAUCAAAAGCGGAGGA
rnacentral:misc_RNA from 1 species